rnacentral:rRNA from 1 species
GACGAACGCUGGCGGCGUGCCUAAUACAUGCAAGUAGGACGCAGUUGCGAACGGGUGAGUAACGCGUAGGUAACUACCUAUUAGAGGGGGAUAACUAUUGGAAACGAUAGCUAAUACCGCAUACUAGUAGAUGGAUCUGCGUUGUAUUUGCUAGUAGGCAGGGUAAUGGCCUACCUAGGCAACGAUACAUAGCCGAACUGGGAGGGUGGGCGGCCAAACUUGGACUGGGACACGGCCCAGACUCCUACGGGAGGGAGCAGUAGGGAAUCUUCGGCAAAUGGGGGAACCCUGACCGAGCAACGCCGGGUGAGGUAAAAAGGUUUUCGGAUCGUAAAGCUCUGUUGUUAAGGGAGCGGUACUUAACCAGAAAGGGACGGCUAACUACGUGCCAGCAGCCGCGGUAAUAC